rnacentral:rRNA from 1 species
GAAGGUAGCGUAAUCAUUUGUCUUUUAAAUAGAGACCUGUAUGAAUGGCAUAACGAGGGUUUAACUGUCUCCCUCCCCUAGUCAAUGAAAUUGAUCUGCCCGUGCAGAAGCGGACAUAAACACAUAAGACGAGAAGACCCUAUGGAGCUUUAGACAAAAGAUCAAACAUGUAAAGAAACCAAACUAACCAAAAGGAACACAAAGGCCACAAAACCCGACGUAAAAUGAUCCAAAUGUCUUCGGUUGGGGCGACCAUGGGGGAAAGAAAAGCCCCCACGAGGAACUAGGGGCAAUCCAUUAAGUCAAGAGAUACACCUCUAAACAACAGAAAAUCUGACCAAAAAUGACCCAGGACACUAAUCCUGAUCAACGAACCAAGUUACCCUAGGGAUAACAGCGCAAUCCUUUCCCAGAGUCCAUAUCGACGAAAGGGUUUACGACCUCGAUGUUGGAUCAGGACAUCCUAAUGGUGCAGCCGCUAUUAAGGGUUCGUUUGUUCAACGAUUAA